UACGUAGGGUGCAAGCGUUGUCCGGAAUCAUUGGGCGUAAAGCGCGCGUAGGCGGCCCGAUAAGUCCGCUGUAAAAGUCAACGGCUCAACUGUUGAAAGCCGGUGGUUACUGUCGGGCUAGAGUACGGAAGAGGCAAGUGGAAUUCCUGGUGUAGCGGUGUAAUGCGCAGAUAUCAGGAGGAACACCUAUAGCGAAGGCAGCUUGCUGGGACGUUACUGACGCUAAGGCGCGAAAGCGUGGGGAGCGAACAGG
rnacentral:rRNA from 1 species